UAGGGAAUCUUCCGCAAUGGACGAAAGUCUGACGGAGCAACGCCGCGUGAGUGAAGAAGGAUUUCGGUUCGUAAAACUCUGUUGUUAGGGAAGAAAAAAUGUAUAGUAACUAUAUACAAAAGAGACGGUACCUAACCAGAAAGCCACGGCUAACUACGUGCCAGCAGCCGCGGUAAUACGUAGGUGCCAAGCGUUGUCCGGAAUUAUUGGGCGUAAAGCGCGCGCAGGUGGUUUAGAAAGUCUGAUGUGAAAGCCCACGGCUCAACCGUGGAGGGUCAUUGGAAACUAAUAAACUUGAGUGCAGGAGAGAAAAGUGGAAUUCCUAGUGUAGCGGUGAAAUGCGUAGAGAUUAGGAGGAACACCGGUGGCGAAAGCGGCUUUUUGGCCUGCAACUGACACUGAGGCGCGAAAGCGUGGGGAGCAAACAGG
rnacentral:rRNA from 1 species